UAAAUAUUUAUUAAAUAUUUUAAUAUAGCAUAUUAAUAUAUUAAAUAUGUAAUAUGUGAAUACUAAAAGGAAAUUUUUGCAGGUUGGUAAAGCACACAGUUGCAAAAAGAGCUGUGAGCCUUCUCUAUGACUUACACCAGGCUGUCGGUGGUAAAGGGUGGAUGCAAUUAGCAAUAUGGUUUGUUGUCAGCAUGUUGUGGACAUAAUAUAAAGGGCAUUUCUUGUCAAACCUGAGACCCUUAAAAAAUAUCCCUCAAUAAAGUCUCAUGAACAGCUGCCCAUGUGUGGACCAGCCACAGGAUACCAGGCCACCGUCCCUGCCCCCCCCCCCCCCCCCCCCCCCCCCCGCACGCCCAGGUCAGGCCCCAGGGUGCUUCUUUUGUCUGGCCGCACCCCCUCCCAGGUGGGCUGGGGGGCAUGAGUGGCUUGACAGGAAGCCUCUCCCCGCAGGUGGCCCCGGGACAGGCUCCAGGGCUCAUGGGAUGGGAGGCCAGGGAAGAAGCUCAAGGUUUACACAGCCCAGGAGUCCAGGGCCUCGGAGGAACAGGCCGCUGCUCGCUAAGAAGGGGCCAUCUGUGAGCAGGGGAGAGACGGGCUCGCGGGCAGCUUGACAGCAAGGAAGGACACCGCGGGGAACAGCAAGAAAGGUACACAAAAGACUAUCGGGAACGUUGGCUAGCUGGAGUUCCGAUUCAUGUGAAGAUACAACGAACACAGAUACUUGUGCACAAUCCCGGGGGUCCUGGGCCGUCCCCCGAGAGCUGCGUUUUGAUCAGUGUCUCCCUGUGAGGACCGACCGCGAGGGAACAGCUUUCCUCAGUCGCAGCUUGCGUUGGAGGGAGGGUGUCUCCAAAGAUAUUAGGCGUAUGUAUUCAUGAGCCACAAUCGAUUCAAACAUUAAAUGGAAACUUCACAAAUUCUGUCCCCGCUGAUGUGUCCCGGACCAGCUUAGCAAUUGGUAAAAGCCCUGCCCUAAAGAGACAGGCAGUUGGAGCCAGCAGGGACAGAAGGUGUCUCCAGUGGAGGAAAUACAGCUGCUGGCAAUGUCCCGCCAGCAUCGUGGGGGCUCUGGGUCCACGGACGUCCAUCUCUGUCUCCCCUGCACCGUGACCAGAUCUCAGAGCAGCCUGGCUCAAGUUCAGUCGAGGAGAGUGUCUUUGCCAGAAAGAAACAUGACAUUUCAUGCAACUCCAGGAUCUUGGAACUACCAUAUUUAUAUUACACAAGGAACCAGCAAACGAGGCUGCCUGGGGCUCAUUUGGCUGCAUAUUUGGUCGCACAAGAGCUGUUUGGGCACAGAAUCCAGGACACCGGGCACCAGCGGGGACAUCAAGUCUGCACCCCGGGCCGCUGUGUUGAGGAGGCAAACACUUCCCCCUUUGCCUGAAGGUUGGGCCACCGUCAGACUGGCUGCUGCCGGCUGUCCCCACUCUGGGCGGCUGCUGUCUCAGGCUCGGCCUGGCUCCCGCCGUCCGACAGCCUCUCCCAGCUCGCUGGGGACCCCUGUGCACCUUCCCCCUGACAGCACCGCGCCCUCUCUGUGCUGUGUCACACCCUCAGCCACCAGCUACGCGUCUGGGCAGAAGACACACGAAACCAGCGCCGUGGCAGUUGACAUCCUGUUUCACGUGCACCUGUCUUUCUUCUUCCGUGUUCUGGGCUCCUUGCCUCUAAGUAGGACCCGGGUGACAACAUCGGCACUCACUUACUGACAGACAGGCCUCCUCCGGCCGGA